rnacentral:rRNA from 1 species
UACGUAGGGGGCAAGCGUUGUCCGGAUUUAUUGGGCGUAAAGAGCGUGUAGGCGGCCUGGCAAGUCCGCUGUGAAAACUCGAGGCUUAACCUCGAGACGUCGGUGGAAACUGCCUGGCUAGAGUCCGGAAGAGGAGAGUGGAAUUCCUGGUGUAGCGGUGAAAUGCGCAGAUAUCAGGAAGAACACCCGUGGCUAAGGCGGCUCUCUAGGACGGUACUGACGCUGAGACGCGAAAGCGUGGGGAGCGAACAGG